GUGCACGCUUCGGCAGAACAUCUACUAAAGUUGGAAUGAUGUAGAGAAGAUUAGCAUGGUCCCUGAGCAAGGAUGACAAGCAAAUUCAUGAAGCAUUUCAUAUUUUU